rnacentral:rRNA from 1 species
UACGUAGGGGGCUAGCGUUGUCCGGAUUUAUUGGGCGUAAAGAGCGUGUAGGCGGCCUGGUAGGUCUGCUGUGAAAACUCGAGGCUCAACCUCGAGAUGUCGGCGGAAACCAUCUGGCUAGAGUCCGGAAGAGGAGAGUGGAAUUCCUGGUGUAGCGGUGAAAUGCGCAGAUAUCAGGAAGAACACCUAUGGCGAAGGCAGCUCUCUGGGACGGUACUGACGCUGAGACGCGAAAGCGUGAGGAGCGAACAGG